AUGCCUUAUUUCAGUAAGGUGAUAUUCAAUUGCUGAUAUCCUUUCUUCCACUUGAUAGAUUCGGCUAUUGGUACUUGUGUAUGCUUCACGAAGUUCCUGUGCUGGUUUUUUUCAGUUCCAUCCCGUCAUUUAUGUUCCUCUAUAAACUGGUUAUUCUAGAUUGCAGUUCCUGUAACCUUUUAUCAAGGUUCUUAGCUUCCUUGCAUUUGGUUAGUACACGCCCCUUUAGCACAGAGGAGUUUGUUAUUUCCCACCUUCUGAAGCCUACUUCUGUCAAUUAGUCAAUCUCAUUCUCUGUCCAGUUUUGUGCCUUUGCUGGAGAGGAACUGUGAUCAUUUGAGGAGAAGAGGCAUUCUGGUUUUGGAAUUUUCGGCGUUUUGUGCUGUUUUAUCUUCAUCUUCAUAGAUUUAUCUACCUUUGAUCUUUGAUGCUGAUGGUCUUUGGAUGAGGUUUCUGUGUGGGUUUUUUGUUGUUGUUGUUGUUGAUGUUGAUAUUGUUGCUUUCUGUUUCUUAGUUUUUCUUCUAACAGGCCCCUCUUCUGCAGGUCUGCUGCAGUUUGCUGGAGGUCCACUCCAGACCCUACCCACCUGGGUAUCAACAGUGGAGGCUGAAGAACAGCAAAGAUUGCUGCCUGCUCCUUCCUCUGGAUGCUUCAUCUCAGAGGGGCACUGGCCUGAUGCCAGCCAGAGCUCUCCUGUAUGAGGUGUCUGUCGACCACUGUUGGGAGGUCUCUCCCAGUCAGGACGCUUGGGGGUCAGGGACCCACUUGAGGCAGUCUGUCCCAUAGCAGAGCUGGUGCGCUGUGCUGGGAGAAUCCCACUUGUCAGGAUCAGCUGCUGUCUUCAGAGCUGGCAGGCAGGAAAGUUUAAAUCCACUGAAGCUGCGCCCACAGCUGCUCCUUCCCCCAGGUGCUCUGUCCUAGGAAGAUGAGUUUUAUCCCUAAGCCCCUGACUGGGGCCUUUCCUUCAGGGAUGCCCUGUCCAGUGAGGAGGAAUCUAGAGAAGUAGUCUGGCCACAGCCACUUUGCCAUACUGGGGUGAAUUCUACCCAGUCCAGACCUCCCAGCCUCCUUAGAACUAUGUUUAUGGUUCCCACUAAGAGUAAGGCAUAAAACCACAGUGGCACAGGGAUCAAGAGGUUACUACGAAAAGUAAAGCUGUGCUCUGAAGCACCCCCUGCAGGUAGGAUCCUGUCUAGAGAGCCAGGAGGAAGGGAGGCCACUGGUCAGCAUUCUGGGCUAUUUUUGGCUGCCUCCCACCUGCCCCUCCUUUUGGCCCAAGUUCUAGUCCCACUUGCUUUGUCACCCACUGCCUGUUUAUGGCAGCUUCCUCUCUGGUCUUCAGUGUCCUCAUUGAGCCAAUGAAUACAGCAUCGCUCCUCUAAUCACAUAUAUUCAUGCAGCAGUAUAAAUGAUGUGAAAGUGCUUUGAAAAUCAUAGUAAGUGAAAGACUGGGGCACUGACUUCUUCCAAUUUUCCCAAGUCCUGCUUCAGAACCACUCUCCUAGGCCCCCAGCCCCUAACUCCAUCUUGGCCCUUUGAUCAAACUUUGCCUACUGAGGGGCAUAACUACAUGGUAUCCCCAGAAAAGGAACAAAUAUUACAGCCCCUAUUUCUUCUAUUUGCUAUUUCCCAUGAUCACUCUUACAUCUAGAAACUGGGACCCUUUCUCUGGUUGGUGGGGCCCUCUCCCUAGACCAAAAGACAGGGGCACACAGGCAUCAUAAUGGGCAUUCAGACAUGGUAUGAUGCAAGGGGUGGGCAUGUUAUAAGUGCUGGGGUAGGUCUGGGCACCUCCCAGUUCCUCAUCUGGACUCACUGGGAGAAGUGAUUCACUAGAAUUCUCAUUGGAAGAAAUGACAGGAAAGCUCCCUCCAAUAUCUCAAUUUCCACCCCACUCAGUACCUGGUUUUAUGAUUCCACACCCUCCUAAUCCAUCCUGCCCUCCUAAUACAUCCCACUCUCGUAAGCCAUCCCACUCUCGUAAGCCAUCCCACUCUCGUGCCCGCGAAUCCCUCCCUCUUCUUCCAUCUGCCAAGCCCCUUCCUCCUCUCCAGAAGUAUGUGGAUUUUUCAGUUUUCUGCCCUAACUGUUAUCCCACUGUGGCUCAUACCUGCCCUCCCCACUACCCUACCCUAAUACUCUACCUGCCCUGCCCUUCUGCUAUUCAUUACAAACCAUCCAUUUGUCAAUGCUCUAGUCCCAGAACUCUUUCUGGUAACUCCCUUAUCGAUCACCCAAGCCCUCCUUCUAGCCCUACUGGUCAACGCUUGGGUCCCAGAACUCUUCCCUGUGAUUCCCUUAUCCGUUCCCCUGUUCCUCCUCCUAGCCCUCCUUGCCAACGCUCUGGUCCCAGAACUCUUUUCUGUGACUACCCUGUCUGUCCCCCUACUCCUCCUCCCAGCCCUACUUGCAAAUGCUGUCGUCCCAGAGCUGUUUCCUGGGACUCCUCUACCUAUGCCUCUACCCCUCCUCCUUAGCCCUACUUCUUUCUAGUACCCUGUACUCUAGUCCCCAGCCCCCAGCCCUGCCAUCCCCAACCAGACCUGAUGGUUCACAAGUCUCAUCUUGGAGAUGGUUUCCCUGCUCCCGGGGCAGUUCUGGAACAGUUCAGGAUGGCCAGGACUGUGGAUUCCCAGCAGUCUGACCUGGUGGACAAAGGAAAUGCAAGACGAUGGCAAACCAGCAUUCAGCCUCAUCUGCUCCUUUCCUCCCCUGCCUUAUCAGCCAGCCUGCAUGAGCCUCUACAUCUGUUCCUGGCUUCUCCAUGGAACUCGGUCUACAGCCACAAAGCAAACCACAGGGCCAGUGACAGAGAGGGCAGAGGGGAGUGUGGAGUGGGAAGCACCUAACCUGUUCUCAAGGAGGGGAAUGAUUGGCCAAGAUGAGCUUCAAUCGUAUGUCCACUACCUCCUGGCCUGCCACUUGGCUGUGAGUCCUUUCUGGGCGGUGUCCAGGCAGGUGCUGAGAAGCACAGGCAGGAUGAGGGGACACUUGCCAGGAGACAGCAUGGGAUGCCAUUGCCUAGAGUUGGCAGAAGGACCAGGAGCAGGCAGGCAGCGAGAGGGCACCCAGAGUGCUCCUGAUCGGACCAAGCUGCAUGGAGGCCACAGUGGGACACCUGAGGGAAAAGGUGACCCAGAUGAGGUCCAUCGGAACCAGAUAUUGUGGGAACUGUCAAACCAGACCAAGAAGUAUGGAGGCCACAGAGGGACACCCCAGGGAGGUGACCCUGGAUAAGGUUCAUCAGAACUAGAUCUUGUGAGAACUACCUGACCAGACCAAGCAGCACAGAGGCCACGGUGAGACACCUGAGGGAGAAGGCGAACCCAGAUAAGGCUCAUCAGGUUCAGAUCUUGUGAGAACUGCAGAAGGCAACCACAGAUGAGGCUCAUCAGAACUAGAUCUUGUGAGAACUGCCUGAGCAGACCAAGCAGCACAGAGGCCACAGUGAGACACAUGAGGGAGAAGGUGAACCCAGAUGAGGCUCAUCAGGAACAGAUCUUGUGGGAACCAGAGAGGACAACCCCGGAUGAGGUCCAUCAGAACCAGAUCUUGUGGGAACUGCACUUCAAAGUGCUACAGACCCACAAACACUACAUGCAGCAUCACAUGAAUGCCCUCUGCAAGGGUGAGGGGCCUGGCAGGAUGGAGGAAAUACCAGAGAGGGGGGAUGCGCCCUGAAAAAAAGGAGAGCCCUGGGGACUGCGGAAGGUGGGGUGUGUGGCUCAUUAAAGGAGAAGAUACCUUCUCACACCCUAACUCCUUUUAUAGACUUUAGGAGCAAUGUCUUUGGAGGGGGCCUCACCUACAUCACAUCAGAUGCAUUAAAUAUAUUAAAAAGCAUUCACAUCUCAUGAAACAUU